rnacentral:rRNA from 1 species
AUUGAACGCUGGCGGCAUGCCUUACACAUGCAAGUCGAACGGUAACGGGCCUUCGGGUGCCGACGAGUGGCGAACGGGUGAGUAAUACAUCGGAACGUGCCCGAUCGUGGGGGAUAACGAGGCGAAAGCUUUGCUAAUACCGCAUACGAUCUACGGAUGAAAGCAGGGGACCGCAAGGCCUUGCGCGGACGGAGCGGCCGAUGGCAGAUUAGGUAGGUGGUGGGAUACAAGCUUACCAAGCCGACGAUCUGUAGCUGGUCUGAGAGGAUGAUCAGCCACACUGGGACUGAGACACGGCCCAGACUCCUACGGGAGGCAGCAGUGGGGAAUUUUGGACAAUGGGCGCAAGCCUGAUCCAGCCAUGCCGCGUGCAGGAUGAAGGCCUUCGGGUUGUAAACUGCUUUUGUACGGAACGAAAAGCCUUCUUUUAAUACAGGAGGGUCAUGACGGUACCGUAAGAAUAAGCACCGGCUAACUACGUG